rnacentral:rRNA from 1 species
UACGGAGGGUGCAAGCGUUAUCCGGAUUCACUGGGUUUAAAGGGCGUGCAGGCGGUCUGUUAAGUGCAGGGUGAAAGCUCCCGGCUCAACUGGGAGAGGUCCUUGCAUACUGGCGGACUUGAGGGGGGUAGAGGAAAGUGGAAUUCCCGGUGUAGUGGUGAUAUGCGUAGAUAUCGGGAGGAACACCUGUGGCGAAGGCGGCUUUCUGGGCCCUACCUGACGCUGAGACGCGAAAGCGUGGGGAGCGAACCGG